GAUGAACGCUGGCGGCGUGCCUAAUACAUGCAAGUAGAACGCUGAAGGAGGAGCUUGCUCUUCUGGAUGAGUUGCGAACGGGUGAGUAACGCGUAGGUAACCUGCCUGGUAGCGGGGGAUAACUAUUGGAAACGAUAGCUAAUACCGCAUGACAACAGUUAUUGCAUGAUAACUGUUUAAAAGGGGCAACUGCUCCACUACCAGAUGGACCUGCGUUGUAUUAGCUAGUUGGUGAGGUAACGGCUCACCAAGGCGACGAUACAUAGCCGACCUGAGAGGGUGAUCGGCCCCACUGGGACUGAGACACGGCCCAGACUCCUUCGGGAGGGAGCAGGAGGGAAACUUCGGCAAUGGGCGGAAGUCUGACCGAGCAACGCCGCGGGAGGGAAGAAGGUUUUCGGAUCGUAAAGCUCUGUUGUAAGAGAAGAACGAGUGUGAGAGUGGAAAGUUCACACUGUGACGGUAUCUUACCAGAAAGGGACGGCUAACUACGUG
rnacentral:rRNA from 1 species